rnacentral:rRNA from 1 species
ACGGCUCAGUAACACGUGGAUAACGUGCCCUUAAGUGGAGGAUAAUCUCGGGAAAUUGAGGAUAAUACUCCAUAGAUUAUGAGAUCUGGAAUGAUUCAUGGUUGAAAGUUCCGGCGCUUAAGGAUCGGUCUGCGGCCUAUCAGGUUGUAGUGGGUGUAACGUACCCCCUAGCCUAUGACGAGUAUGGGCCUUGAGAGAGGGAGCCCAGAGUUGGAUUCUGAGACACGAAUCCAGGCCCUACGGGGCGCAGCAGUCGCGAAAACUUCACACUGGGGGCAACCCCGAUGAGGGAAUUCCUAGUGCUAGGACAAUUGUGUUAGCUUUUCUCUAGCGUAGAUAACUGGAGGAAUAAGGGCUGGGAAAGACGGGUGCCAGCCGCCGCGGUAAUACCUGCAGCCCAAGUGGUGGUCGAUUUUAUUGAGUCUAAAACGUUCGUAGCCGGUUCGAUAAAUCCUUGGGUAAAUCGGGGGGCUCAACCUUCCGACUUCCGAGGAGACUGUCGAACUUGGGACCGGGAGAGGCUAGAGGUACUUCUGGGGUAGGGGUAAAAUCCUGUAAUCCUAGAAGGACCACCGGUGGCGAAGGCGUCUAGCUAGAACGGAUCCGACGGUGAGGGACGAAGCCCUGGGUCGCAAACGGGAUUAGAUACCCCGGUAGUCCAGGGUGUAAACGCUGCAGACUUGGUGUUGGAAGCCCUUUGGGGGCAUUCAGUGCCGGAGAGAAGUUGUUAAGUCUGCUACUUGGGGAGUACGUCCGCAAGGAUGAAACUUAAAAGAAUUGGCGGGGGAGCAC